CAGUCGCCGCGGGAAUACGAAGGGGGCUAGCGUUGCUCGGAAUCACUGGGCGUAAAGGGUGCGUAGGCGGGUCCUUAAGUCAGGGGUGAAAUCCUGGAGCUCAACUCCAGAACUGCCUUUGAUACUGAAGAUCUUGAGUUCGGGAGAGGUGAGUGGAACUGCGAGUGUAGAGGUGAAAUUCGUAGAUAUUCGCAAGUACACCAGUGGCGAAGGCGGCUCACUGGCCCGAUACUGACGCUGAGGCACGAAAGCGUGGGGAGCAAACAGGAUUAGAUACCCGAGUAGUCCCUGUCUCUUAUAC
rnacentral:rRNA from 1 species